GCGUCCAUCGUCUAAUCAGGUUAGGACAUGAGUUUUUCAAGCUUAGAAUGGGGGUUCAAAUCCCCUUGGACGUA
rnacentral:tRNA from 2 species